AUGAGAUCAAGAAUCAAUGUCGUCUUCUCCAUGGUACUCCGGUUCAUUCCUCCUCUUUUUAUUGUUCUCGUCCUUUCAAAUUGGUGGUGGAUGUCUCUCGUUCCACCUUUCGUCUUGAGGAGUCCUCUGUUGCCCUUGCUCUUUGAGCUUGUUUGGGUGGUUCUCGGUUUUCUUGUUAAACAUCUGAAUGAUCGGUGUUACACUUUUUGUGUUUGUAAUAAGUCUGUUGGUUUGUGGAUUUACAACCUUCGCUCCUAUAUUUGCCGUGAUUAUCAUAUGAGAUUCUUCUUAUGGCGCGAUGGUGGUCCUAAUUGGGGGUUUGAGUUUCGUCAGUGGGAAUCUGAGCAGCUUAAUGAAUGGACUGUUGUUAAGAAGAAAUCUAAAUCUGCUGUUGUUGCUUCCUCUUCAGUUCCUAUCUCUAGGGUUUUCAAUCGCCUCCAUGUUCUUGAUCCCCCUUGCCCUUCUCCGGUGGCCGCCGGCGAGAAGUCUCUCCGUUUUCCACUCUCAGUUGUUGCGAAGAAACCCUCUCCUUGGGAGAGUUCUCUGCCUCCCAUGGUGAAUCUUCACCCUAAUCCACUCUGUUUCAUCCCUCCUGGUCUACAUUUGCAUCUGGCCAGGCCUUAUCAUCGCGGGCGUGUUGAUACGGUAAACUUUACUCCUUCAGUCAUGAAUCAUGAGCAGUUUAUUCUGGCUCUAGUCCACCCUCCGCUGCCUAAAGACCAAUGGGAUGAACAUCGUGCAGAGAUGGGGAGUUUCUUGAUCAGGAACAUUCGUGUGCUUGCUUCCUAUCCACAUCCAAAUGUUGUUGCUUUAUUCCAGAUUAGAUCACCUGUUCAUCGGGAUGCCUUAGUUCUUGGUCAGCCGAUUGCUUAUGAUGAGGUUCGUUUUGUUAGACAUGAUCAAGGUCCGAACUGGCGUAACGCCCCCUAUAAUCAUCGUGAUUGGAUCAUGUUGCUUGAUUUCCCUCUUGACUAUGUCACUUUCCAUAAUUUUGCCGAUGUUUUUCCUCUUGAUGAUGAUCUGCCACUGGGUGAGGGCCCGGUGGAUCCUAAUUUUGGUAAUGUGCAAAAUGUUAAUCAGGAUCAGAAUCAGGGUUGGGGUAAUUGGGAUGAGGGUAAUUCAACUAACUCUGUCAUCAGUAUCUCCAGUGAUGAAGCUAUUGAGCAUGUGUCUGACAAUAGCCUGAUGGUUCAGAAG
rnacentral:lncRNA from 1 species